rnacentral:rRNA from 1 species
AGUAACGAAUAUUCCGCAAUGCGCGAAAGCGUGACGGAGCAAUGCCGCGUGAAGGAUGAAGCACCUCGGUGUGUAAACUUCUGUCAGGGUUUAGGAAACAAAUGACCAUACCCAAAGGAAGAGCCGGCUAACUCUGUGCCAGCAGCCGCGGUAAUACAGAGGGCUCAAGCGUUAAUCAGAAUCACUGGGCUUAAAGGGUGCGCAGGCGGACCCGUCAGUGUCUUGUGAAAUCCCACGGCUUAACCGUGGAACUGCAGGGCAUACUGCGGGUCUUGAACUCGGCAGGGGCAACCGGAACUCUAGGUGGAGCGGUGAAAUGCGUAGAUAUCUAGAGGAACGCCAAAGGCGAAGGCAGGUUGCUGGGCCGAUGUUGACGCUCAGGCACGAAAGCGUGGGUAGCGAACGGGAUUAGAUACCCCGGUAGUCCACGCCCUAAACGAUGUGUACUAGAUCGAGGAGGUUUUGACGCCAUCUCGGUCGGAGCAAAAGUAUUAAGUACACCGCCUGGGGAGUACGGUCGCAAGGCUAAAACUCAAAGGAAUUGACGGGGGCUCACACAAGCGGUGGAGCAUGUGGCUUAAUUCGAAGCAACGCGAAGAACCUUAUCCAGGGCUUGACAUGCACGGAUUAGCUUCCAGAAACGGAAGUGACGCCUUUGGUGGAACGUGCACAGGUGCUGCAUGGCUGUCGUCAGCUCGUGCUGUGAAGUGUCGGGUUAAGUCCCUUAACGAGCGAAACCCUUGCCGCUAGUUGCUACCAGGUAAUGCUGAGGACUCUAGCGGGACUGCCGGUGUCAAACCGGAGGAAGGUGGGGAUGACGUCAAGUCCUCAUGGCCUUUAUGCCCUGGGCUGCACACGUGCUACAAUGGCGUGGACAGAGCGACGCAAUACCGCAAGGUGGAGCAAAUCGCACAAACCACGCCCCAGUUCGGAUUGAGGUCUGCAACUCGACCUCAUGAAGUUGGAAUCGCUAGUAAUCGCGUAUCAGCUACGACGCGGUGAAUACGUUCCUGAGCCUUGUACACACCGCCCGUCACGUCAUGGGAGCCGGGAGCACCCGAAGCCGUACCGAUUCAGGUAUGUCGACGGUGAGCUCGGUGACUGGGACG